rnacentral:misc_RNA from 1 species
GAUGAAGAACGUAGUGAAAUGCGAUAAGUAAUGUGAAUUGCAGAAUUCAGUGAGUCAUCGAAUCUUUGAACGCACAUUGCGCCCUGUGGUAUUCCGCAGGGCAUGCCUGUUCGAGCGUCAUUUCAACCCUCAAGCCCCGCUUGGUGUUGGGCCCCGCCCGCCGUGGCCGGCCCUAAAGACAGUGGCGGCGCCGCCUGGCCCUCAGCGUAGUACAGCUCUCGCUCCAGGGUCCGGCGGCCGCCUGCCAGUACCCCCCCAACUCUGUGGUUGACCUCGGAUCAGGUAGGGAUACCCGCUGAACUUAAGCAUAUCAAUAAGCGGAGGA